AAAAAUGAGGACGAUUGGUUCUAGCCUCCAGUGCCUCAGGGUUGAUUUGGGAUCUGGCUGGCUAGGCAGCUGUCGCCUGCCUCCUCACUGCUGCACAUGCGUCCCUCUUGUUGGAGAGGACAACUUUUCCCCAGUAGAGGAGGACUGAUCUGCUGUGCUCCCUGCUACAACCUCCAACAGGUUCUCAAGAUGCUCACCAAAUUGCUGGCAGGGACACUGGAGCACUGCACAAGGCAGCUCUCUUG
rfam:Cricetulus griseus cell line CHO-K1, whole genome shotgun sequence.